GCUGGUCGUGGUGGCGCACACCUGUAAUCUCAGUGGCUCUGGAGGCUGAGGCAGGGGGAUCGAGAGUUCAAAGCCAGCCUCAGCAAAAGCAAGGUGCUAAGCAACUCAGAGAGAUCCUGUCUCUA
rnacentral:sRNA from 1 species